UGCUGCAUGGCUGUCGUCAGCUCGUGUCGUGAGAUGUUCGGUUAAGUCCGCUAACGAGCGCAACCCUCGCUGUGUGUUAUAUGUGUCACACGGGACUGCCGGUCUUAAGCCGGAGGAAGGUGGGGAUGAUGUCAAGUCAGCAUGGCCUUUAUAUCCUGGGCUACACACACGCUACAAUGGCCAACACAAUAGGUUGCUAAGCCGCGAGGUGGCGCCAAUCCAUAAAGUUGGUCUCAGUUCAGAUUGUAGGCUGCAACCCGCCUGCAUGAAGAUGGAGUUGCUAGUAACCGCAGGCCAGCUAUACUGCGGUGAAUACGUUCCCGGGGCUU
rnacentral:rRNA from 1 species